rnacentral:rRNA from 1 species
UGGGGAAUAUUGCACAAUGGGCGCAAGCCUGAUGCAGCCAUGCCGCGUGUGUGAAGAAGGCCUUCGGGUUGUAAAGCACUUUCAGCGAGGAGGAAGGUGGUGGACUUAAUACGUUCAUCAAUUGACGUUACUCGCAGAAGAAGCACCGGCUAACUCCGUGCCAGCAGCCGCGGCAAUACGGAGGGUGCAAGCGUUAAUCGGAAUUACUGGGCGUAAAGCGCACGCAGGCGGUUUGUUAAGUCAGAUGUGAAAUCCCCGGGCUCAACCUGGGAACUGCAUUUGAAACUGGCAAGCUAGAGUCUCGUAGAGGGGGGUAGAAUUCCAGGUGUAGCGGUGAAAUGCGUAGAGAUCUGGAGGAAUACCGGUGGCGAAGGCGGCCCCCCUGGACGAAGACUGACGCUCAGGUGCGAAAGCGUGGGGAGCAAACAGGAUUAGAUACCCUGGUAGUCCGCGCUGUAAACGAUGUCGAUUUGGAGGUUGUGCCCUUGAGGCGUGGCUUCCGGAGCUAACGCGUUAAAUCGACCGCCUGGGGAGUACGGCCGCAAGGUUAAAACUCAAAUGAA